GUCUACGGCCACGCCCCCCUGAACAAGCCUGAUCCCGUCUGAUCUCAGAAGCUAAGCAAGGUCGGGCCUGGUUAGUCCUUGGAUGGGAGGCCACCUAGGAAGACCAGGUGCUGUAGGUG
rnacentral:rRNA from 1 species